rnacentral:rRNA from 1 species
UACGUAGGGUGCAAGCGUUGUCCGGAAUUAUUGGGCGUAAAGAGCUCGUAGGCGGCUUGUUGCGUCGGCUGUGAAAUCCCGAGGCUCAACCUCGGGUCUGCAGUCGAUACGAGCAAACUAGAGUGUUGCAGGGGAGACUGGAAUUCCUGGUGUAGCGGUGAAAUGCGCAGAUAUCAGGAGGAACACCGGUGGCGAAGGCGGGUCUCUGGGCCGAUACUGACGCUGAGGAGCGAAAGCGUGGGGAGCGAACAGA